UACGGAGGAUGCGAGCGUUAUCCGGAUUUAUUGGGUUUAAAGGGUGCGUAGGCGGUAUGGUAAGUCAGCGGUAAAAGCCCGGGGCUCAACCCCGGCGAGCCGUUGAAACUGCCGUGCUAGAGAGGAAGAGAAGUAGGCGGAAUGCGCAGUGUAGCGGUGAAAUGCUUAGAUAUUGCGCAGAACUCCGAUUGCGAAGGCAGCCUGCCGGCUUCUGUCUGACGCUGAGGCACGAAAGCGUGGGUAUCGAACAG
rnacentral:rRNA from 1 species